GCGGCGGCCUAACACAUGCAGUCGAGCGGAACGACAUUAUUGAUUCUUCGGAGGAUUUAAUGGGCGUCGAGCGGCGGACGGGUGAGUAAUGCCUAGGAAAUUGCCUUGAUGUGGGGGAUAACCAUUGGAAACGAUGGCUAAUACCGCAUAAUGCCUACGGGCCAAAGAGGGGGAUCUUCGGACCUCUCGCGUCAAGAUAUGCCUAGGUGGGAUUAGCUAGUUGGUGAGGUAAUGGCUCACCAAGGCGACGAUCCCUAGCUGGUCUGAGAGGAUGAUCAGCCACACUGGAACUGAGACACGGUCCAGACUCCUACGGGAGGCAGCAGUGGGGAAUAUUGCACAAUGGGCGAAAGCCUGAUGCAGCCAUGCCGCGUGUAUGAAGAAGGCCUUCGGGUUGUAAAGUACUUUCAGUUGUGAGGAAGGGUGUGUAGUUAAUAGCKGYAUCUCUUGACGUUAGCAACAGAAGAAGCACCGGCUAACUCCGUGCCAGCAGCCGCGGUAAUACGGAGGGUGCGAGCGUUAAUCGGAAUUACUGGGCGUAAAGCGCAUGCAGGUGGUUCAUUAAGUCAGAUGUGAAAGCCCGGGGCUCAACCUCGGAACUGCAUUUGAAACUGGUGAACUAGA
rnacentral:rRNA from 1 species